AGUGAACGCUGGCGGUAGGCCUAACACAUGCAAGUCGAACGGAAGCACAGUAAGAGCUUGCUCUUACGGGUGGCGAGUGACGGACGGGUGAGGAAUACAUCGGAAUCUACUUUUUCGUGGGUGAUAACGUAGGGAAACUUACGCUAAUACCUAAUACGACCUACGGGUGAAAGCAAUGGAUCUUCGGAUCUUUCGCGAUUGAAUGAGCCGAUGUCGGAUUAGCUAGUUGGCGGGGUAAAGGCCCACCAAGGCGACGAUCCGUAGCUGGUCUGAGAGGAUGAUCAGCCACACUGGAACUGAGACACGGUCCAGACUCCUACGGGAGGCAGCAGUGGGGAAUAUUCGACAAUGGGCGCAAGCCUGAUCCAGCCAUACCGCGUGGGUGAAGAAGGCCUUCGGGUUGUAAAGCCCUUUUGUUGGGAAAGAACAGCAGCAGGUUAAUACCCCGCUGUUUUGACGGUACCCAAAGAAUAAGCACCGGCUAACUUCGUG
rnacentral:rRNA from 1 species